CACAUGAGAAGACGAUUAGAUUGUGGAAAAUAGUAUUCGCCAUCUUCGAUUCAACAAUAUGAGUGACCUUGUGAUUCUCGAAGGCGAUCAACUGCGAAAGCUAGCAAGAAUAAUUAGGAAUCAAGAGGCCAAUGCCAUAAAAAACAUCAAAUUCCAAUAUGAACACGAACUUGCCCAAUAUCUGAGAGCCAGCGCAGGUAAUCAUCGAGCGAAGGAUGGAGAUAAUUACGAGUCAGUGAUAAGGCUUCUGGACGACAACGAUGUCAUGAAGCACACAUUCAAAGACGACAAAACUCGAUCUUUGAUUGCUAACGAUAUCUUCUCGUACAUAGUUUCGUCCGUCAACUUAGGGCUUCAGGAAGUGAAGAAUUAUGCAUUGCGGGUGAACUAUCUGAGAAAGAUAAGUCAGCACCGAAACGAAAUUGUUCAGUAUAGAAACUAUAUGCUGGAGUAUACUAGGAAUCGUCAAAGUGUAGCUGCGCGCAGCUUCUCCAGAUACCUCAAAAAUAGUGGAAUCAAGUUCAAUGAUCUCCUUAAAAGACAUCAGGUACACGAUUAGGCGUGGUUUUUCUGUGGCAUACGAAGAGCUGGCAAGUGAAGAUCAAUUCCUGGUGCUGAAUGAUAUUAUUAAUGCAUCGGGGCGAGGAAACAUGAUAGUGAACAAUUUAUCAAAGGCGUCGGGUGCAGCAGGCAUAAUGGUGCUGGUUAUGAUUGCAGGAGUGAUUGUAUGGGAUAUAUUUUCAUCCGAAUACGUGCUCGAAACAACAGUACGUGAUGCUAUGGUGACUGCUGCAUUCCUCGGUGGGCUGUUGAUAGAUGAUCUUGUGGAAGCGCGUUGCCACUUUUAGGUGUUUGCGAGGAACCUCUUUUGUUCGUGAUCGUGAUUGCAGUUAUAGGUGGCAUCAUGGGGACUUAUAUAAUUAAUAGGUUUGUUGGUAAUUGGUUGGUUGGCUAUAUUUUUCAGACUGGGACUUCACGCCGCCCCUUAGCACCAAUGGCCAUCGUUUUUAUGUGACGCCCUUGCCCGAUGGCGAGGCAUUGGCACGUCAAAUUGUUCAUCACCAAUCACUUGUCAACUAGGUUAAUUACUCUAUACAGCAAUCUCUUUUGGUUUCAGAAACAUAUUUGUACUGAUGUAAUGAAUAAUCAACCUCU